GCGCCUGUAGCUCAGUGGUAGAGCAUCCGACUUUUAAUCGGAUGGCCGUUGGUUCAAUUCCAACCAGGCGCACCA
rnacentral:tRNA from 1 species